GAAAGUGAACUGGCAGUUUGGACAUUAUUUAGCCGUGCAAGGACGUGUUCACCAUGCAUACUUUUCUUUGACGAGGUGGAUGCUUUGACAACAAAGCGUGGUGAAGAAGGGGGAUGGGUUGUCGAGAGAUUACUGAACCAGUUACUUAUAGAGUUAGACGGUGCAGAGCAGCGGAGGGGUGUUUUUGUCAUCGGUGCAACAAAUAGACCUGAGGUGAUGGACCAUGCUGUCUUACAGCAUUGUAG